ACUCUUAUAAUUCAUAGUAUAGAAUAUCACACUGAAGAUGUGGAAGAAGUAGUUUACUUGAGAGUG
rnacentral:tRNA from 1 species